rnacentral:rRNA from 1 species
UUCAUAGAGUGUAAAGGCAUAAGGGAGCUUGACUGCGAGACCUACAAGUCGAGCAGGGUCGAAAGACGGACUUAGUGAUCCGGUGGUUCCGCAUGGAAGGGCCAUCGCUCAACGGAUAAAAGCUACCCCGGGGAUAACAGGCUUAUCUCCCCCAAGAGUUCACAUCGACGGGGAGGUUUGGCACCUCGAUGUCGGCUCAUCGCAUCCUGGGGCUGUAGUCGGUCCCAAGGGUUGGGCUGUUCGCCCAUUAAAGCGGUACGCGAGCUGGGUUCAGAACGUCGUGAGACAGUUCGGUCCCUAUCCGUCGUGGGCGUAGGAAAUUUGAGAGGAGCUGUCCUUAGUACGAGAGGACCGGGAUGGACAUACCUCUGGUGUACCAGUUGUCGUGCCAACGGCAUAGCUGGGUAGCUAUGUGUGGAAGGGAUAAGU